CAGAGUUGAAAAACUCCCAAACCACCGUGAACUCUACCCGAAACCGUUGCUUCGGCGGGCCGGCUCCCCCCAGCCGCGCGGCCCCUCCGGGGGCGCCCGCCGGAGGUACCCAAACCACUGUCUUGCUUGGCCUCUCUGAGUAACUGUACCGAAUAAGUCA
rnacentral:misc_RNA from 1 species